GCAAAACGCGAAGAACCUUACCCACCUUUGGCAUGUACGGAAUCCUUUAGAGAUAGAGGAGUGCUCGAAAGAGAGCCGUAACACAGGUGCUGCAUGGCUGUCGUCAGCUCGUGUCGUGAGGUGUUGGGUUAAGUCCCGCAACGAGCGCAACCCUUGCCAUUAGUUGCUACAUUUAGUUGAGCACUCUAAUGGGACUGCCGGUGACAAACCGGAGGAAGGUGGGGAUGACGUCAAGUCCUCGUGGCCCUUAUAGGUGGGGCUACACACGUCAUACAAUGGCUGGUACAAAGGGUUGCCAACCCGCGAGGGGGAGCUAAUCCCAUAAAGCCAGUCGCAGUCCGGAUCGCAGUCUGCAACUCGACUGCGUGAAGUCGGAAUCGCUAGUAAUCGUGGAUCAGAAUGUCACGGUGAAUACGUUCCCGGGUCUUGUACACACCG
rnacentral:rRNA from 1 species